UGAAAAAUUAUUUAGAAAUAGUAGAAUUCGUAGAUAUGUUCGUUCCCAGUUCUUUCGUUCUCUAUGUGGUUCGUUAUCGAAAUACUCUUCUACGGACUUAUCAUUAAUGGUUUGAAAUAUACAAGUUUAUUUACAUCACAUAUAGAGUAUACAAAGGAUAAUACACCUAAUGAUUCGUUCGGAGAGCCUGGAUGAUAUCACUGGUAGUGAAAAUGCGAGCGAACAAAAUCCUCUACAGAAAGGAUUACAAGAGUCCACAGAGGUUAAAGUCUACUCAGAUCAACACAAAAGCCCUAGAAGUUCACCGCUGUCCAGUCCUCUUCUAAACACCCUCUGGGAUCUAUCUUCCCAGAAAACCACAUCGGAAACUCUACACUGUUGAGCUCCGCCGAAAGUCUGACUUAGGAGCCCGUCACUUCUGACCCGCUCCGUCCGCUUUCCUUGCAGUUUCUCUCUUCGUUACUGUCCACAUGCUUAUGUCACUCAUGUGUCUCCUUGUCUUCCUUUAUUCUCUCCCCUUUCCCACGGCCCUCCUUUUUUUUGCUUGCUUUUCCCCCUCCCUCGAAUUUGAAACAAAAUGUUAAUGGAGGGAAACAAAGCGACCGAUGAGCAAAAUCCAUUACAAGACAUCUUAGUUAGGAAGCUAACUCCUCCCUAAAUUGGUC
rnacentral:lncRNA from 1 species